CUCUGCCCUAUUACGUGUCAGUAACCUCCUCGACACGGUUCAUUUUUACGGCGGCUCAGUUUUGUCUUAAGAAUAAACAUAAUUGAUAAGUUUCUUUCCCCUGCAUUCCUCGAUCGCACUUGUAAAUAGCACAUUGGUCUCAAGACAUUGGUACAACACUUGCCGUCAGUACUCAAAAUUGGAAAAAUAUUAAAUAAGAAGGUUGCCAGCAAGAUGAAAAGAACAAUGCAGUUCAAAAGUCAAAAUGUGGAUAAGCUGUGGUACAAGGUCCUACUUUUGCAGAUUUUCAUAUUUUGCAUGAAUGAAUUUGAAGUUUAUAUCAUGGAGGGCAGAGAAAGAAAAGAAACACUUCAAUUUUCCUGCUUCUGAAGGAUAAAUGUAAAACAUCUUGUUCGAAGGAUUGAAAUUCAUCACUGAGAAUAAAAGGAGAAAACACAGAAACAAGACCAAAAUAAAUUCAAAGACAAAAGUCAGAUCAGUUAUUAUUUUCAUCACUCAGUCAAUGAAUUGAAGUUCUAUUAAAUAUCUAAAGAUAUUAAAACCACAAUAAUGACAAUGUUCUGUGCUGAAUGGCCAAAAAGUGGACUAUACAUUACGAUCACACAAUGCUGGAUGAUAAGAAACUAUUAAGUUUUUUGGGUGGAGGGAUAUCCUGAAAAAAAAAAUAGAUUUAUGUAAAAAGCUAGUAGUAUGUUAAGCCUAUUAAUAGAGUUUUCAUUGAUUUCA